rnacentral:lncRNA from 1 species
UGGUGGCGCUUCUGGAUCUUUACCGCUAUCUGGCACCGAGGUUCCAUUCUGGCUGUGAACUUUGCCCUUGUUUUCAUCUAUAAACAUACCUGGUGGCGCUUCUGGAUCUUUACCGCUAGCUGGCACCGAGGUUCCAUUCUGGCUGUGAACUUUGCCCUUGUUUUCGUCCAAGGUAACUGGUUCUCCGACCGGUGGUGGUUUGCCUUCCUUCCCUGUUUCUCUAGUGUGAGCACUAAGGUCUGCGGAUACUGGCUCACUGCCCUUCACUAGUCUUACAUCAAGAAGGGAGGAGUACUCGAUCUGCAGUUGACAUUGAAGGGUGAUGUUUGUUUGCCAUGUUUGCAUACAUGGUUAGAUUGGAUAUUGAACACGAGUGAGGAUUAC